UACGUAGGUGGCAAGCGGUGUCCGGAUUUACUGGGCGUAAAGAGCGCGCAGGCGGUCGGAUAAGUCGAAUGUGAAAGCCCCCGGCUCAACUGGGGAGGGUCAUUCGAUACUGUUCGACUCGAAGGCAGGAGAGGGAAGUGGAAUUCCCGGUGUAGUGGUGAAAUGCGUAGAUAUCGGGAGGAACACCAGUGGCGAAGGCGACUUCCUGGCCUGUUCUUGACGCUGAGGCGCGAAAGCUAGGGGAGCAAACGGG
rnacentral:rRNA from 1 species